rnacentral:tRNA from 1 species
UCCAGGGUCUGGCCGAUGUGGUCGUGGUGGUCGUGGGUCACCAGGAUGAGGUUGCACUCGUCCACGUCCUUGUAGGAACCGGGGGCGCUGGGA